GGACAAAACUAAGAGAACACCCUUUGAACUGAAAGAAAACAUAAGUUAUGGCAAGCAUAAAGAUAAAGCAAAAUGACGUCAAAAUCGUCAUCAGGAAAAGUUAACUCUUUCCUGGAUAGGAAGGUUUCGUUAGACGAGACUGCCAUCUAUGGAUCAAAUACCUAAAUCGCGAUCCCUAGAUUGGACACACCUAUGGCUUCCUAUUGGGUUAUCAACUAAUGACGUAUAGAGAGUCUGGCCCUUUAAAUGUUAAGACAAAGAAAGGAGAGGGAAGAGGAAUUGGAAGUUUGGGGACUCCAACUCAGACAUGCAGAGAAACCCAGGACAACAUCUGAGACUAACACUCAACUCACAAACUCUUUGACACUUUCUAACCAACACUACUUUUCACUAUUACCCACGCACCUCCAUGCAGAGAGACAUCCAAACAAAUUCCUGAGACUACCAAUUUGAUGAAAAUAUCUACUCAACUGGUAAUUAUACUGGUUUCAUUUAAUUAAUUAAUUAAAUUAAUUAAAAUUUACUAAUAGCAUGAUAUAUGACUGGAUAAAUCACGGUCAGAUUUCCAUAUUAAGAAAUCUUAGUUAACUAAAGAAUAUAUAGUUAUAAACAUUCCAUUCUGCAGGUGGAAUUAAGAAUAAUUAUAUAUUAAUGUGAUAUUAUCACGUGUUAGCAUACCGCUGUUUUUAUCCAGGUGUAUUGAUUUGCUCUAAUAUAAGAUAAGAUAUCUUUUUAGGCGAAUUAAAAAUCUGCUUAUGAAAUCUGGUAGAAUCUCUUAUUGGAUGGUUCCAGGAAAUGACUAAUGAACUGGUUUAAAUGUUAUUUUAUUUAAAAUUACAUAAGAAUAGAUCUUAAUUACCUAGGUGGUCUAGCCAGCAUUGAAAGGGUUAUUCUAACUGGCAGCUAAACUUUACAACCUUACGCUGCACUCUGAGGAAUUCUGUUCUCUGCGUGAAACUUUUUCUUUCUCUCUGUGAAAGAUAGUCAUAAAUCUAGUCUUGACAGAAAAUGCUGUUUAGCCAUUGAAAUGUGUAUAGCCAUUCCUUUGUAUUGCAUACCAUUUUAUACUGGAUAUUCAUUGAUUAUUGUCAC